UACGUAGGGGGCGAGCGUUGUUCGGAAUUACUGGGCGUAAAGCGCGCGUAGGCGGACCUGCAAGUCGGGGGUGAAAGCCCGAGGCUCAACCUCGGAACUGCCUUCGAUACUGCGGGUCUCGAGUCCGGGAGAGGUGAGUGGAAUUCCUAGUGUAGAGGUGAAAUUCGUAGAUAUUAGGAAGAACACCAGUGGCGAAGGCGGCUCACUGGCCCGGUACUGACGCUGAGGCGCGAAAGCGUGGGGAGCAAACAGG
rnacentral:rRNA from 1 species